GCGCUCGUAGCUCAGUUGGAUAGAGCGACAGAUUCCUAAUCUGUAGGCCGUAGGUUCGAUCCCUAUCGGGCGCA
rnacentral:tRNA from 1 species